UCCUACGGGAGGCAGCAGUGGGGAGUAUUGCACAAUGGGGGAAACCCUGAUGCAGCCAUGCCGCGUGUGUGAAGAAGGCCUUCGGGUUGUAAAGCACUUUCAGUUGUGAGGAAAAGUUAGUAGUUAAUACCUGCUAGCCGUGACGUUAACAACAGAAGAAGCACCGGCUAACUCCGUGCCAGCAGCCGCGGUAAUACGAAGGGUGCGAGCGUUAAUCGGAAUUACUGGGCGUAAAGCGCACGCAGGCGGUUUGUUAAGCUAGAUGUGAAAGCCCCGGGCUCAACCUGGGAUGGUCAUUUAGAACUGGCAGACUAGAGUCUUGGAGAGGGGAGUGGAAUUCCAGGUGUAGCGGUGAAAUGCGUAGAUAUCUGGAGGAACAUCAGUGGCGAAGGCGACUCCCUGGCCAAAGACUGACGCUCAUGUGCGAAAGUGUGGGUAGCGAACAGGAUUAGAUACCCUGGUAGUCCACACCGUAAACGCCGUCUACUAGCUGUGUGUGUCUUUAAGACGUGCGUAGCGAAGCUAACGCGCUAAGUAGACCGCCUGGGGAGUACGGCCGCAAGGUUAAAACUCAAAUGAAUUGACGG
rnacentral:rRNA from 1 species